AUAAAUUGGGUUUAACCAAUUGGACUUGACUUAAAUACUUAAUUUUUUUGAUUAACUGCUUAUUCAAUCAUCAUAAUAACAAGUACUUCUCAUAAUAUCUAGAGUCAUCAGAUUGUGAUGAUAUAUGAAUGAAGCAUUUUUAUGAACUUACUUCGUAUACACAUGAUUCCAUUAUUUUGCAAAUGCGAAUAUGUGCCUCGGUUUACAGUCGGAAGGAUGCAUUAGUAAUGCAUAUUUUCUUCUGAUUUUAUUUCAUAUUGCUCAUCUUACCUAUGUACGUUGUUACCGGGACUCGGACCUAAGGUCAAAUGUGUUUAGGUGGACUCCUUUCUUUUUUAUAAGAUUGUGCUGAAUGCAUGAUGUUACAAAAACUGGCCUGGCACAGCUCAGUUGUGAUGGCGCAGCAAAUUUGGCUAACUGAGAUACCAUAUUCGCCUGCCGCAUCACCAAACUAAUGUGAACAAAACUGAAAACCCUGCUAAGGUCCCGCGUCUGUUUGAGAAUUGACAAAUGUUUUCCUCUGAUUCUUGCUGCCCUCCACAACGACACCUAGGCUGUGCGAUCCGUCUCAGUCAUCACCUUUCACGAACUGGAAUCCAUCAGAAGUGGGGAGGCGACUGGCUGAGAGGAGCUGAGAGGCGGCAAUGUUCGAACUCAGCAUUGUCCUUUUCAACACCAUCACCGCUGUGUUUAUCAUUGAGUAGGGAUGCAGCAACAUGUUGCAACUGUGUGGGGACUGGGGACGGGGAGCAGUAGCUGCUGCGGUGAGGAGUAUGUGAGGUGGCUGGGGUGAGGACUAUGAGAAAGUCACGUCUAGAAACUAGGGUUGUUGGUAAUUUUGUGGGAUAGUUGGGCAACCUUUUGGUGUUACGAUUUUCUACAGCUGUUUGCUGAGUGUUAUAGCCUAUACACAUACCGGCGAAGUUUGGACCGGAAACAAUGGGUUGACCUAAUAUCUGUUUCACAAAUCGGAGAUGUAUCGUUACUCUUAUAAAGAUGUCAAUCAGUGGUGGUGGUCCAUCACUUUGUUGCCACCACACAUUGAAUUUAGCAUAAAUGUUUCAGAUGAGAGCAACUUAAAGGUGGUUUAAAUUGGCACAAAUGGUGGUAUAAUUAUAUUUCAAACAUGCAGAGUUAUGUUUUAACCUGUUGCAACGCAUGGGCGUUGUGCUAGUACACCCUGAUGAACCCGAUUUGCAUGAGGUAGUGAAUUGCAAACAGCAAACUCGAGUUGCGAACUCAACAAAUCCUGAAUAAGGAAACUACGGUCAUGCUCAUUGUUACACCCCCUCUAUCCUAUUUUGGCAGCUGGCUACACUACACAAAGUUAAGCAUAUCAUUUGGUUUGCCAAUACUCUGGUAACUUGGUAAGAGACCAUGAUCUAACUACUGAUCCUUAUGGAAAUAUGCAGUUUUAACCUAGGUUUGAUGGUCAAGAGUUAAUUCUAGGAACUUCAAUCCUUUUUGGCUGAACUUGCCUUUUGAAGUUUGUCACUGCAUUAUGGAUGAAGUUUUAUCUAUUUUUAGUAGCUGCAACUCUUUUCUAUAUUUAUACUGGAUAUAACUUGUGUCAGUGGUAUCACAACAAACGUUCUCCAUUUUUGUUUUCUAUGCUUCCAGUGAAAUUAUGAUAAAUAUAAUCUGCAAAAU